rnacentral:rRNA from 1 species
UUAGAGUUUGAUCCUGGCUCAGAUUGAACGCUGGCGGCAGGCCUAACACAUGCAAGUCGAGCGGUAACAGAGAGUAGCUUGCUACUCUGCUGACGAGCGGCGGACGGGUGAGUAAUGCUUGGGAAUAUGCCUUAUGGUGGGGGACAACAGUUGGAAACGACUGCUAAUACCGCAUGAUGUCUACGGACCAAAGUGGGGGACCUUCGGGCCUCACGCCAUAAGAUUAGCCCAAGUGGGAUUAGCUAGUUGGUGAGGUAAUGGCUCACCAAGGCGACGAUCCCUAGCUGGUUUGAGAGGAUGAUCAGCCACACUGGGACUGAGACACGGCCCAGACUCCUACGGGAGGCAGCAGUGGGGAAUAUUGCACAAUGGGCGCAAGCCUGAUGCAGCCAUGCCGCGUGUGUGAAGAAGGCCUUCGGGUUGUAAAGCACUUUCAGUAAGGAGGAAAGGUUAAGUGUUAAUAGCACUUAGCUGUGACGUUACUUACAGAAGAAGCACCGGCUAACUCCGUGCCAGCCGCCGCGGUAAUCUACGGGCACACGCUAGGGCCU